GCGGGGCGAGCGGAGAGGCCCGCGGGGCUCGCGGGAGUCCAGGGGCAGACGGGAUGGGUCUCCGUGCUGAAACCCCCAGCGCUCCGGCCACAAGGUAAGAAUCCCAGAGUCCCUGGGACUCAUGACUCUGCCUCCUGAAUCUCUCCGGAAGACCUGAGAGAAGAACCACAGAUGUGCUUGUACCCUUUAAAAACAGCCCUCUUCAAAGAACAAAACCAUUGAGUCAG
rnacentral:lncRNA from 1 species